UCAUUUUUCAUUCUAGAAGAAAAAGCUGGAAAAAGACACCGAAGCAGUGAGGUAUCUCUUCCCAUCUCUAAAACUAGCCCAAACCCUUUAGCUGAGGCGUCUCGUGCUAGGAAGGGCACAGUGCAGCUGGUCUGAGGGUGCCCGCGUGGCACUGUGGGUCAGUGCGAUGAUGCUGAGAAACACUUUUUUUUUUCACUUUUUUUUGCCACUCCUGGGCAGGCUGAACUUUCUUUCACGCUAGGCGGCUCUCCUUACGGGGCACACUCCUUGCGCGUGGGGCUCCCCUACUCGGGGACACUCCUGCGUGGCAGGGCACUCCUUGCACACAUCAGCACUGCGCAUGGGCCAGCUCCACACGGGUCAAGGAGGCCCGGGGUUUGAACCAUGGACCUCCCAUGUGGUAGGAGGAUGCCCUAUCCCUUGGGCCAAAUCCAUUUCCCCUGAGAAACCUUAAAAUCUUAUUUUCUGACCUGAGGCCACUUCUGGCAACACCCUCCAAAGAAUCCCUUCUAAAACUUAGGGAGAAAUGGGUGCACUAAGACGUUUCACCACAUUUUUCAAAUAGUAGCAGAAGCGGAGGCACCCUACACGCCUACCCAUCUAAUAGGUGAGCAAACUCCAGCACAUCUCCAUGGAAUGUUGCAGGAGGCUUAGGAAGACUCCAGCAGCCUGGGAAGUGUCUGUAGAGUUAGAAGAACAGGAUAUCAAAUCCCUCCCACCUGAUUUCACAUGUUUUCAGAAGAAGUUCGACCCCAAAACAACAAACAAAAACCCUUAUAGGAAAUACACCAACAUGUCCAUAUUGGUGGCAGGUAAAGAAAACGACAAGUAAUUUAUUCACUGGUCUGUUUGGGGCAAGGGGGGUCACCUGACUUACAAUGAAAAAGACACAUUUGUGAUUAAUGAAGGACAAUGGGAGGAAGCCUAAGAAGAAAAAGGCCCUCUUUAAAAAGAGCGAAUCCGAGUUGAUCUGGCGGGGCUCGGGUGCAGGGGUGCAUUCUGCAGCCCCCGCCUCUCCGUCAAGCAGCCCCCUGCUCCCCAGCACCGUCGAGGGCGCGGCCUCCCCCGCAAGGGCCCUGGCCAGGCCCAGCGCUCCUGGGGUCGAGCUGAACCCUCUCUCCAACCCCUCUUCCAGAUCCAGGUCCAGUCUUAAAGGCAAGAGUCCUGGGUCAAAGGCCGCACCGCAGCUCAGACUUAAAAAGCCCAGAUCCAAGAAAUGAAUCGGGAAGCGACCCGCCGUGGCGGCUGAGGGGGCGGAGCUCUGAGACCACCUUGCAAGAGGGGCCCUUGGGGUGGGGGAGCCCCUCUACCCAGGCCCCCCCCUCCUCGGGGCCCCCCUCCGUCUCCAAGCCUUAAUGUGAUGGGGCCUGCUGGGGGGCAGCACAAGAGCCCCCCACUGCUCCAGUUUCAGCAGGACCAGGAAGCAGAGUGCGCACUGCAGGGUCCCAAUAAAGUUUGCUCUAUGAGGAU
rnacentral:lncRNA from 1 species